CACGUGAGGGCGCAAGCGUUGUCCGGAAUUUAUUGGGCGUAAAGGAGCUAGCGUAGGCGGGUCUGUUGCGUCCGCGUGUGAAAAACUCGGGGCUUAACCCCGAAGCCUGCAGUGGAUACGGGCAGACUAGAGGUAGGUAGGGGAGAAUGGAAUUCCCGGUGUAGCGGUGAAAUGCGCAGAUAUCGGGAGGAACACCGGUGGCGAAGGCGGUUCUCUGGGCCUUACCUGACGCUGAGGAGCGAAAGCGUGGGGAGGCGAACAGG
rnacentral:rRNA from 1 species